AGUGACCGGGAUGAGCUCAAAUUUGAAAUCUGGCGUCUUUCAGGCGUCCGAGUUGUAAUCUAUAGAGGCGUUUUCCGCGCCGGACCGCGUCCAAGUCUCUUGGAAUAGAGUAUCAAAGAGGGUGACAAUCCCGUACUUGACGCGACAACCGGUGCUCUGUGAUACGUUCUCAAUGAGUCGAGUUGUUUGGGAAUGCAGCUCUAAAUGGGUGGUAAAUUCCAUCUAAGGCUAAAUAUUGGCGAGAGACCGAUAGCGAACAAGUACCGUGAGGGAAAGAUGAAAAGCACUUUGGAAAGAGAGUUAAACAGCACGUGAAAUUGUUAAAAGGGAAACGAUUGAAGUCAGUCGUGUGAGGGGUAUUCAGCCGUCUCUGGCGGUGUAUUUGCCUCUCACGGGUCAACAUCAGUUUGAUCCGGUAGAAAAAGGCGGGAGGAAGGUGGCACCCUCGGGUGUGUUAUAGCCUCCUGUCAUAUGUGCCGGACCAGACUGAGGAACGCAGCUUGCAGCAAUGCCGGGAUUCGUCCACGUACAAGCUUAGGAUGUUGACAUAAUGGCUUUAAACGACCC
rnacentral:rRNA from 1 species